CAUUUUCUUUAUCUUUUCGUCUCCUCAAAGCUGGAGAGGAAAUCGAAAUCCCGAGCCUAGGGUUUUUGAACAUACUGUAGUGUGAAAUAUCCGUGUCUCUGAAUCUCUCAAUCCACCGCGGACUUCAAAUCCUUUACUUCUUAAGGGGCCGUCAGCUGGAAAGUUUAUCCCAUAGUUCCUCACAGAAACAUAUUUUUAAUAACCAUAUCUUAAGAAAGAAACGAUGUCUGGAAGAAAUCGAGGACCCCCUCUUCCAUUGAAAGGAGCUCCUCAUGCUGGAUUGCCCCCUGCAGUUCGUGAAGUGCCAUUUGGCAGGGGGGUUGGGCCAAUGCCCCAUCCAGCUCUACUUGAGGAGAUGAGAGAAUCCCAUUUCGGAAUGGGUCCCAGGCCGCUUCCUCCUCAUCCUGCAAUAAUUCAGGAGGGUCUUGAUGCUCAGUAUCAAGAAAUUCAGGGUCUCUUAGUCGAUAACCAGAGGCUAGCUGCCACCCAUGUUGCCCUUAAGCAGGAACUGGAAGCUACCCAGCAUGAGUUGCAAAGAAUGGGUCACUUUGCAGACUCCUUGCGGGCGGAGAAGGACGGUCAGAUGAGAGAAUUGUAUGAGAAGUCUGUUCAUUUGGAGGUGGAUCUUCGUGGGGUUGAGGCUAUGCGUGCUGAGCUUAUUCAAGUUCGUGCCGAUAUUAAAGAGCUCAGUGUCGGAAGGCAGGAGCUGACAGGUCAGGUACAAGCGAUGACACAAGAUUUGGCUAGACUUACAGCAGAUUUGCAACAGGCGCCAGCAUUACGAGCAGAAAUUGAGUCUAUGAAGCAGGAGUUGCAACGUGCAAAAGCAGCCAUUGAGUAUGAGAAGAAAGGAUAUGCAGACAAUUAUGAGCAUGGUCAAGUGAUGGAGAAGAAGCUGCUCUCAAUGGCUCGAGAAUUGGAGAAGCUUCGUGCAGAGAUUGCUAAUGCAGAGAAGAGAGCUCGUGCUGCUGCUGCUGUUGGGAACCCAGGGACAGGCUACAACGUGAAUUAUGGCAAUCCUGAGGCAGGUUAUGCAGGAAAUCUUUAUCCUGCUAGCUAUGGCAUGAAUCCUGCACAGGCUGGUGCAGAAAAUUUCCCCCAUUAUGGACCUGGUCCUGCUUCCUGGAGUGCCUAUGAAAUGCAACGAGCUCAAGGACACAGAUAGACUUUUCUCACUAUCACACCAAGCUGUGUUAUAACCGGUUUACAACCCGCUGUCUCUAAAAAUCUUCUCCUUCUGCCAUCCGUCAAUCCAUGAGGUGGUUAUCCUGUAAAGUGGCACAAGCUAGAAACCCGAGCUGUUUUAUUCCCUGUGCCACCCCCCACCUAGCCUUUAUAGGGGCUGCCUGAGAUCAGUGGCCUGGCUAGAUCAGACUGGUUUAUAGAAUCGUGUCCACGGACGUAUAUCACCAAUAUGGUUUCUAUACAGCAGUGGGUUUUGAUCCGUGCUUCUUGAUCCAUCAUUCUGACUUGUAUUUCUUUCAUUGACGGCCUCACCUCCGUGGUUGCGCACAACAACGGAAAUCGUCUUUAAAUUUUAAUGCGGAUAUGAAAGUUACUUUGGUUCGAACACCCAUGGGCUGGUUUGUGAAGGCUCCUUUGUCAGUCAACUAUGGUAAUCAUGACGAGGAUGAUGAAAAUUAAAUAUGAGCUAUUGGUUUUGGGUUUUAACAAGUAAACUCAGAUCCAUUGAAAGAGUGAGCAGAUGAUGAAAUGCAUCUGAAGAGCCUAGUUAUGGUUCCCGUAUGCUAUUUGAUGAUACAACUCUUCUCAUACUGUUUCCAUCCAUAGCUCCUGAUCUCUUUUCUAUGUUUUUAUUUUUUUUAUUUUCUUAGAUCAUCACGCGAGAGUUGUUGGGUAACUU